rnacentral:rRNA from 1 species
UACGUAGGGGGCAAGCGUUGUCCGGAUUUAUUGGGCGUAAAAGGCUUGUAGGUGGCCACGCCAAGUCGGAUGUGAAAUCUCCCGGCUCAACUGGGAGGGGUCAUUCGAUACUGGUGGGCUCGAGGCCGGUAGGGGGAAGCGGAAUUCCCGGUGUAGUGGUGGAAUGCGUAGAUAUCAGGAGGAACACCUGUGGCGAAAGCGGCGCACUGGACCACAACUGACGCUGAGGCGCGAAAGCUAGGGGAGCAAACAGG